AUUGAACGCUGGCGGCAGGCCUAACACAUGCAAGUCGAGCGAGUGGCGGACGGGUGAGUAAUGUCUUGGGAUCUGCCAGAUAGAGGGGGAUAAAUACUGGAAACGGUGGCUAAUACCGCAUACUAUCAGAAGAACCCAUAUGGUCUAUGCGCGUUGGUGGGUUAAAGGCUCACCUAGGCGACGAUCUCUCGCUGGUCUGAGAGGAUGAUCAGCCACACUGGGACUGCGACACGGUCCAGACUCCUACGGGAGUCAGCAUUGGGGAAUAUUGCACAAUGGGCUCGAGCCUGAUGCAGCAAUGCCUCGUGUCUGAAGAAGGCCUUAGGGUUGUAAAGUACUUUCAGCGGGGAGGCGGGACCCGCAGGAGAAGCACCGGCUAACUCCGUGCCAGCAGCCGCGGUAAUUC
rnacentral:rRNA from 1 species